CGCGGCCCUGGUUGAGGAGGCUGCGUUUUGCCACGACGCGCUCCUAACGGGACCGUGAGAUGCCGGCCUGGAUCUCGUCCAGGAGCCGUUUC
rnacentral:tRNA from 1 species